GUGCUCGCUUCAGCAGCGCAUAUACUAAAAUUGGAACAAUACAGAGAAGAUUAGCACGGUCCCUGCGUGUGCAUAAUACGUAUGCUAAAACCAUAGAGUUUUU